ACGGCAGAGAGCAAACAACUAAAUAUUCUAAAUUUUAAAAAAGUAGCAUUCCAUCAUUUUUUUUUUUAUAUUAGAUAUUAAGUUAAAAGUGAAUUUUGUAAAAAAAAAAUGUGAGCUAACAGUAAAAAUUCAGCAAGCAGAAAAAAACAACAAAAAAGUUUUAAAAAAAUGUGAGCAAAAUUAUUUUAUUGAAAAAUUUGAUAUUUAAAAAAGUUUAAUUUUCGAAUUUUUUUUUUAGAUAUUAAGUUGAAAGUUUAUUUUGUAAAAAUAAUGUGUGCCAAACCGGAAACUUCAGCGAGAAACAACAACUAACAAGAAAAAAACGUGAGAAAAAUUAUUUUUUUCCAUUAAUAUUUUUUAAUUGAAAUAAUAUCUUUUUUACAGUUAUCGGUAUUAAUAUGUGACGGCAGCACAUCAGCACAGCGGAUCAUUGGUCGCACAAGCCAGAGGAUUAAGUCUCUCUCUAGUACACCAAACACCCAAAUACACACAAACAUUCAGCCACUUUUGCAAUACACCCAAAGGUUAUUCUUCAGGUUUAUUUCAAAAGAAAAUAUUUUGUUCCUGUUCGAAGUAAUAUUUAUUUGAACUUUAUUCCCCCAUCCAGCUGAUUUAAACACAUUCUUCCAAUUCAAAUCAUCUGCAUCUUCAUCUUCAAAACGUCUUCAAGAGGUUAAAGUUUAAUGGUUCAACACUGUCUGUGGAUUAUCUGGGUCUUCAAUUUGUGCUUUGGCUGUGACUGGCAAAUUCUGGUUCUCUGGGGAUCUUUUCUUUUCUCAAUGAUAAUGAAACCAUAUAUUUUGAUAUGAAAACCUUAUAUUUUGAUACUAAUAAAUUAUAUAUUUUGAUACGAAAAACAAA
rnacentral:lncRNA from 1 species